CGGCAACAGCUCAAAUUUGAAAUCUGGCUCUUCUAGGGUCCGAGUUGUAAUUUGUAGAAGAUGCUUCGGGUGUGGCUCCGGUCUAAGUUCCUUGGAACAGGACGUCAUAGAGGGUGAGAGCCCCGUACAGUCGGACACCAAGCCCAUGUGAAGCUCCUUCGAC
rnacentral:rRNA from 1 species